rnacentral:rRNA from 1 species
GACGAACGCUGGCGGCGUGCUUAACACAUGCAAGUCGAGCGGUAAGGCCCUUUCGGGGGUACGACGAGCGGCGAACGGGUAGAGUAACACGUGGGUGGACCUCGCCCUCCAGCUCUGGGAGUAAGCCUCGGGAAACCGGGGUACCUAAUACUGGAUAUGACUCCAUGACGCAUGUUGUGGGGUGGAAAGCCUUGUGCGGCUGAGGAUGGGCCCGGCGGCCUAUCAGCUUGUUGGUGGGGUGANGGCCUACCAAGGCGACGACGGGUAGCCGGCCUGAGGAGGGCGACCGGCCACACUGGGACUGAGACACGGCCCA